GCAAACGCUAUGAAGAAAAGAGUAAGCUGAAUGCGCUUUUUACAGAGAAUUCCCGAACGCUGAGAGGGAUGAAGGCAAAGCAGCUGAAGAUGGUUUCUGAGCGGCACGGAUGAACGCAGGACAUAAAAAUUCUGCGAUAAGACGUGACAGGGCCGCCUGUUACAGCGGAAGGGUAUAAGGAUGCAGGAAAGACGCAGCAGACACCGGCGGCAGCGCCGGGCAGCAGGCAGGAUUUUGACGGCGGUGCAGCUCCUGGCGUUCCGUACCCGCAGAGGCCGGUUCCCGUGAGGGGCAGGCGAAUGGAAGUGGUAACACGGGAAUAUCCCGUCUUCUUU
rnacentral:ncRNA from 1 species